AGGUAGCAAUACCUAGUGGGGAACGGCGGAGUAAUACAUGAACAACGUGCCCUGAAGUCCGGGACAAACGCAGAAAUGCCAUAAAUACCGGAUGUGGCCCCGACCUGGCAUCAGGAUGGGAUUAAACGGUUUUUCGCUUCAGGAGCGGUUCAUGGCCUAUCAGGUAGUUGGUGGGGUAAUGGCCUACCAAGCCGACGACAGGUAGCGGGUCUGAGAGGAUGAUCCGCUCGAGUGGGACUGAGACACGGCCCACACACCUACGGGUGGCAGCAGUUGGGAAUCUUGCACAAUGGGGGAAACCCUGAUGCAGCGACGCCGCGUGGAGGAUGACGGAUCUAGGUCUGUAAACUCCUUUUUCAUGGAAAGACUUAGGACGGUACCAUGAGAAUAAGGACCGGCUAACUACGUGCCAGCAGCCGCGGUAAGACGUAGGGUCCAAGCGUUGUCCGGAUUUACUGGGCGUAAAGAGCGCGUAGGCGGUCUGUUAAGUGUGAAGUGAAAUCUCCAGGGCUCAACCCGGAAACUGCUUCGCAUACUGGCAGACUUGAGGAAUGCAGAGGUUUGUGGAAUUCCUGGUGUAACGGUGAAAUGUGUUGAUAUCAGGAGGAACACCCAUGGCGAAGGCAGCAAACUGGGCAUUAUCUGACGCUGAGGCGCGAAAGCGUGGGUAGCAAACAGGAUUAGAUUCCCUGGUAGUCCACGCCCUAAACGAUGGAUACUAGGCGUAAGAGGUAUCGACCCCUCUUGUGCCGCAGCCAACGCAUUAAGUAUCCCGCCUGGGGAGUACG
rnacentral:rRNA from 1 species